UCUAGAAAAAGCAGAGCUUUAGGCACACCAUCAAAUCCUUUCCCUUGCAGUCAUGAAGUAAUGAAGCCUCCAGUUUCUGUUGUAGACGUUAUACCCCAAAAUAUCAAUGAGUCUCCCGGUGCUGCUGCUGUUGAAGUGUUACCUGAAAACUUUGAUG